rnacentral:rRNA from 1 species
CACGUAGGCGGCAUCGUAAGUGUCCGGUGAAAUCCCACGGCUCACCCGUGGAACUGCCUGGCAGACUGCGAUGCUCGAGUGUGGUAGGGGAGAGCGGAACUCCUGGUGGAGCGGUGAAAUGCGUAGAUAUCAGGAGGAACACCGGUGGCGAAGGCGGCUCUCUGGUCCACAACUGACGCUGAGGUGCGAAAGCUAGGGGAGCAAACG